rnacentral:rRNA from 1 species
GUUAGGAAUAUUGGACAAUGGGCGAAAGCCUGAUCCAGCCAUGCCGCGUGAACGAUGAAGGCCUUCGGGUUGUAAAGUUCUUUAGCCGAUGAUUAUAAUGACUGUAGUCGGAAAAUAAGCCCCGGCUAACUUCGUGCCAGCAGCCGCGGUAAUACGAAGGGGGCGAGCGUUAUUCGGAAUCACUGGGCGUAAAGCGUGCGUAGGCGGUUUUGUAAGUUAGGAGUGAAAGCCCAGGGCUCAACCUUGGAAUUGCUCUUAAAACUGCAAGGCUCGAAUCUCGGAGAGGAUAGCGGAAUUUCCAGUGUAGCAGUGAAAUGCGUAGAUAUUGGAAGGAACACCAGUGGCGUAAGCGGCUAUCUGGACGAGUAUUGACGCUGAGGCACGAAAGCGAGGGGAGCAAAAGGGAUUAGAUACCCGAGUAGUCC